rnacentral:rRNA from 1 species
UACGUAGGGUGCAAGCGUUGUCCGGAAUUAUUGGGCGUAAAGAGCUCGUAGGCGGUUUGUCGCGUCUGCUGUGAAAACCCGAGGCUCAACCUCGGGCCUGCAGUGGGUACGGGCAGACUAGAGUGCGGUAGGGGAGAUUGGAAUUCCUGGUGUAGCGGUGGAAUGCGCAGAUAUCAGGAGGAACACCAAGUGGCGAAGGCAGAUCUCUGGGCCGUAACUGACGCUGAGGAGCGAAAGCAUGGGGAGCGAACAGG